AAUAAGUACAGUUUUAGCCCUGUUCAUGUUCAACGUUUGACCGUUCGUCUUAUUUGAAAAAAAAGAUUAUGAUUAGUAUUUUUAUUGUUAUUGGAUGAUAAAACAUAAAUAGUACUUUGUGUGUGACUAAUUUUUUAAAUAUUUUUUAUAAAUUUUUCAAAUAAGACGGAUGGUUAAAGCUCUAAACACGGAUAUCUAUGGCUUCACUUAUU
rfam:Oryza meridionalis cultivar OR44 (W2112) chromosome 3, whole genome shotgun sequence.